rnacentral:lncRNA from 1 species
AAGUUCAGUCCCUCCAUGACUUCUGACUGAAGCAAGAACCGCAAACGGCAUUUCAACGUGCCUUCUCACAUUCGGAGGAAGUUCACGUCUUUCCCUUUUUCCAAAGAACUGAGACAGAAGUGUAACGUUCCGUCCACACGAAGUGGUCCAUGUGUGCAGGAAGAAAUAAGUAACCUACACUGAAUGAGUUCAGCAAGAAAAGGCUAAUGGCACAACUGUCCAUGCGGGCAUCCACCCCAGAAAGGUGGGUAUCACCAGGGUAAAGCUGGAUGAGGGCUGCAAGAAGUUCCUGGAGAGAAAAGCCAAGUCUAAGCAAGUAGAAAAGGAGAAGGGCAAAUAUAAGGAAAAAAACAAUUGAGAAGAUGCAGGAGUAG